ensembl:lncRNA
AUAAUGUACUUUGUCCUGGAUGUGUCUAACUUCCUGCACUGUAAGGAUGAUCUCCUGCAGUCAUUCUGCCAUGUCUUCAGUAUCCCAUCUGCAUUUUCCCAGCAGAUCUGUGGAUUCUGGCUUCUAGAUCACGGAUUAGUAACAGACUCAAUUAAUGUCUUAUUGAGCCCAAGAGCAUGUCCUCCAACACUGCCAUGGCACCAUUAUGCUGUUCUGAGGACCUUAUUGAAGACAGGAGAGAACCGAGCAGCACUGAAGUAUCUCUACAGCAUCACACCAGUCAUGGAGAACAUUCAAGACAUCAAACUCUGUGUGGAUGUGUUAAUACACAACAAAUGUAUCUCUGAGGCCUGGGCUCUGAUUAGAGGACUCCAAACUAAAGAUGUUCACCUGUUUAAACAUUUCAUUCAUGUCUGUGAGAAUCAUGGGAUUUGUAGUAAUACGGUGGCCUCUCUGUGUGAGGUGAUUCUAGAUAUCGUAAUGAUUUUCACCCUGGGAUAACUGGUAAACUCUGAAUUUGGUAAAAUGAUGGUAUAAACAAAUUUGUUCUUUGCCAUCCAUCUAUUUUUUGUGGCAGGGGUUGGCUCAUCUCCAGCUGAUAGAAAGCCAAAAUAUGCAGUCCAGUGAAUCACAAAUUCUGAAGCAAGAAAGAGUAGGUCAAAAACCAGUAAGAACUGAAGCAGGUAAACUACAGCUGCUUUCAUCUCAAAUAUACUGUUGCAUGUUAGCUGAAAUUAUACAGUUCUCACAUUCUAUGUAAAUUAUUUGGUUUGGCUGUAUGGGUGAUGGAGGUGAAGGACAAACUCCUCGUCCACUGUCUGCAUGGCUGUACCACAUGCAUGACCCCCUGACUCUAGGAGAUUUUGUCAAGAUACUCAGGCAGUCUAUAUUUGAAAUAUGUCCUUUACCAAAGAAAAGAAGAGUGGUGCUGUUGCUGCCAAAGUACCUGGAGAAUAGUGUGAACAGUGCACAACUCUCAUGUCAUGUUGCUAACAGCACAUCAGUUGACAUUCAUUGUAAGUUCAAGCAAAGAGCUGUUGAGGAAGAGUGUGAGGAAGACCUGCCUCUGCAGCCAGAGGAGGACAUGAAUGAUUCUCCAGUGUUCUCCUCUCCCUCCACAUCUCCUGACAGCAUGGAGUCUGUUGGCUUUUUUAAAUCUCCCUGCUCUUCACCACCAGCUGUCUGCUCAGAAGCCCCAUCUGCACAGGAACCCAUCCUCCUAAAGCAGAACUCUUCUGCUGUGCCUGAAGAGGAGGAAAGCCACAUCCCAGAUGAGGACAAAACUCUGGCAGACAUGAUCCCUGGCAGUUCCGAUCUAACCCUCACUCUAGACAGCACCACAGAGGCGCUAUCCAUCAACAGCCUGAGCAGGGAAAGUGUGGUUAUAGAGAAGAUUUUCCCUGGUGUGGAAACUGGAGUCAUCUCACACUCAGCUGAGGGUGUUGCAGUAGAAGCUCCACAUGCAGAGAGGAGACUCUUGAGCACACUUAACCUUCACCCUAACUGCUACAGUAAUGAGGACAAUCAGUCAGUGUGCUCACUUCCCGAGAUCCCCGCGGAGAGUCAUAACUUUUUAUCACCCAGUCAUGAGAAGUUAACUUACAAUAAAACUGUGGAUGAUGCUGUGAGCAUUAAGCCCAAGAAUCUGACUGAGACUGAAGAGUGGAUCAUUUCACCCAGUCAGCCAAAAACAGAGUUUGUUUGCCUGCAGGAUUCUAAAGCGUCAAGAACCAGCAGCUUUCUAGAGCUGAAAUCCUUAAGGCGGGCGCUGUCUCCCUCACGAGUGGAGGAAUGCCAGGAAGACUUCUUCCAUAAUCCUGAAGAUGCCAUAGACCAGCCAGAAAUCCUCACUUCCUGCGCCAUCACAAAUACCAUGCACAACCUCCUGGCUCAUCUCCAACAUGCUGACGUCUUAGUAGAUGAUCGAGAACCCUACCAGGCCUGUUCCUUAAGUGCCCUUAAAAGCUCCAUCGUGGAUAUGGGCCUCAUCCAUCUCUCCCAACGAUCCCGGCAGCUCCAGAAUCCUGCUGGUUCCCAGUCCAGCCCCGUCCACACCCAGCAGCUCAGUCUUUCUCAGCAGUCCAGACACCGGUCCUCCAGCGAGUCCAGGAUCACUAGCACAAAAGAAGCAGUGUGUUUCCGGACCACCUCAGACCGGGUGGGUCACUGUAAGCUGGGCAGCUGGUGGAAACAGGCGCUGGAAACUCGACGGGCUUCAACCGGACUGCUUCCUGCUUUAGAGCAGGUUUCUCCUACACGAGAAAAACGGACAUUUCCUGUUGCACGAUGUCCCCAACCUCAUUGGCUUGGAAGCUUCUUAGAUCUUCCAUCCAAUCCAAGAGUGGAAAAACGAGAGGGCAAACAGGAAGAGAAAGAUGAAGUAACAGGCUGGAGAGGAUCUCUUAAAGUGACCAUUAAUCAGAUUGAUCAUAGACCAACUUCACAUCAAGGCCAUCGACGAAAAAUGAGGAAACAAAUCAAACGAGCUUAAAAAAUAAAUAAAUAAAAAAUAGCAAAUGCUGUUUGCAUAUAUAGGGAACUAAGUGACUGUUGCAAUCAUAAGUUUAACAUAUUAUACAUUAAUUAAAGGGUGUUAUUACAAUUGUCAUAUGUAAAUGUUUAGUUGAUCAAAAUAUCACAAUAAAGUCAUGUACAAAACUUAAACUGAUGGGGAAAAAAUGUAUGCGUGCAUAUUAGCCAACCACAUCUUAUUAUAUAUCUUGUGUGUGUGUGUAUAUAUAUAUAUAUAUAUAUAUAUAUAUAUAUAUAUAUAUAUAUAUAUAUAUAUAUAUAAAUAUAUAUAUAUAUAUAUAUAUACACCAAAUGUUAACAAUAUAAAUGUUAAAAUUACAAAUAUUAUGAACAUGCUUUUAAUUAUGUAUCU